rnacentral:rRNA from 1 species
UACGGAGGGUGCAAGCGUUAUCCGGAUUCACUGGGUUUAAAGGGUGCGUAGGCGGCUUUUUAAGUCAGGGGUGAAAGACGGUGGCUCAACCAUCGCAGUGCCCUUGAUACUGAAGAGCUUGAAUGAACUAGAGGUAGGCGGAAUGUGACAAGUAGCGGUGAAAUGCAUAGAUAUGUCACAGAACACCGAUUGCAGAGACAGCUUACUAUGGUUUAAUUGACGCUGAGGCACGAAAGCGUGGGAUCAAACAGG